ensembl:lncRNA
GAGGAGUGUUUUGUGUGCGCGCAUGCGCGCGCUUGUAAGCCUGCACUGUUGGACAGUGGAGAAGCCUUUGUUUGCAAUGACAGCUUCAAGACGCCUCCUGUAUGACGAAAUUAAUUGGCCGCAGUAUUCAGAGUUUCAUUUGCUGUAUGCUUUGGAUCGUUGUCCUGCUGGAAGGUCCACUCACGUCUCAUCAUCAUCCUGGUGGAUGGCAGCAGAUUCUUCUCACGAAUCUCUCGAUGGCUAUAAAGAGGGCAGGAGGAAAGUCAAAGAGGGCAGGACCUGGUCAGACCUCCAGUCAGACUUGGAAGUGUCUGGGCAAAGACCACCAAGGUUGCUGUCAGACUUACGAGGAGCUCCCCAGCAAUCAUCAGAACCAGCCAUGCUGAGGGAGGUGCUGACUAAAUUAGAGAUGGUACUGGACCAACAAACCACUGAGAUUGCUUUAUCUACAGGAGGUCCAGGUGCAGCCUUUGGAUAUUGAGGAAGGUUUACUGCCCCUGCAAGACCUUCCUCAACUGUGUAGUCUGGAGCAAAGGAUGCAAAAAAUGAGCCCAGAUUACGAGUAAAAACUGGUGAGAAUAUUUCUUUCUUUUAUGUUAACAAUUGCUUGCACAAUUAUACAGCUACUGACCCACUCAUACUCAAAUGACCCACCCAUACUCAAAGCACAACAUUCAACACCACUUUGAUAUGAGGGAACUGUAAUGACCUAAUCUUUGGUAGAGGAGGAAAACAUGGAAAACACAGAGGGCUGGGUAACUGCAGGAGUUGUGAGAAGCACUGACACAGUUCAUGAGGCAAUACAUGUUUAUUAAUAAUUUAUACAUAUAUAUAUAUAUAUGUAUAUUUAAUCAGUUUUAGGUAAACUGGUCGGUGCUUAUUGACGGGCGGAUGUGCGUGACUGCACCUGGCACAUAUUGAAGAGGGUGACUGCCAAAUCCCUGGCAACAGCAAUUGGAGGGCCAUCAGUGGAAAGACUUCUCCAACUGAGAAGUCGUGAUCACAGCAACACCAUGGUGACAGUGAAGAUGGGACAGUUCUGCCCUUUGAAGAAUAAGGCUUUUUUUCUUACAUUUUUUAAAACUUCAGUUACAUUAAUUUAUUCAUUUAUAUGCUAAAUUAUUUAUGAAUUGAUAUUAUUUAAGGUUUUUUUUUUUUUUAUAGACGUACUCGCUACGUUCCAGCAAAGUAGGCCUAUAAGCUAUAAUGUCAGUACGACAAAUAUGGGAAUCACGUGGUGGGAAUGUUAUUUGGUACUUCGCUGUGACUGAUAUGGUCUAAUCUGGUUAGUUGUUUACAACAUACCAGUUUAGUUGUUUAGAGAUAAUACUAGGCCUGAGUGAUAUGGACAAAAUUAAGUAUCACAAAAUCUCUGCUGAGGAUGGCCCCACACGGACAGCCUGAAGAUCAUUGAGGUGACUGAGGAUGGUACCACGUAAAACCCAUGAAGAUGUCUUUGGACUUCAGUUCAUAUGAACAGUUAUGCUACGAUGACUUAGGACAAUUGCUAUGAUAGCUUUAAGAAUGCAAUUAUCAGGACCAGUUUUGGACUCGAGUCUUCAUCAGUGAACAGUGGAGUUCAACAAAACAGACUUCAUGUGAAAACUUUAAUGAAUUUUCCUGGUUACACAACUGCAUUGUUGACCAUGUAGUACACAGUUAUAGAAGUGGAAUGAAUUAUAAUCACACUAUCUGGUGUCACCCAGGUGAGGAUGGGUUCCCUAUUGAGUCUGGUUCCUUUCAAGGUUUCUUCCUCAUAUCAUCUCAGGGAGUUUUUCCUCACCUUCCUUAACUAUGGCUUGCUCAUUAGGGAUAAAUUCAUACAUUUAACAUCUAUAUCCUGAAUUUAUAUAUUUCUGUAAAGCUGCUUUGUGACAAUGUCCACUGUUAAAAGUGAUACAAAUAAAACUGAAUUGAAUGUCUGACUGAAUACCUCGGUAUCAAUAUUGUGACCAUAUUGUAGGGAUACAGUUAGUGUUUUCAUAAGAUAUUUGCAUAGUUAUAUUUUUUAUAAACAGUCAUUAGUAAUGUGGAUAUGGAUGUUCAAGGUUUUGAGAGUUCAUAAUAGUGAAAAAUUCUGACAUCGGACUGCUGUAAUAGGUGUGAUAUAAAUGUUAUGAACAGUAAAUACCUCUUGAAUGUCCUUCUCAGUCUUCAUGGCCCACUGAUUUUUUUU